UAUAGCAUAAAAAGAAAAUAAGAGCUUACCUUUUGAAGACAUGCUCAAGGAUGAAAGAUUAACUCAACUUUAGUACCGGUAAAAAAGUAUUUAAAAAAAUGAGAGGAAUCUAGAAAAGAAAUUGAAAGAAGAAGAAAAGAAGAAAAUUGAGGGUAGGUGACUUUGGAAGAAACCCUUACAAAUAAAGAAGUAGAAUUUAAUAAUAAACAAGUAAGCAAAUAAAAAAGAAAAGAAAAGAACCGUUAAAAAUAAAAGGAAGGAGGAUGAGAUUUGGACAAAAAAAAGUAGGAAAAAGAAAAACAACACAAACAAAAAAGAAGGAAAAAAGAAAAGAAGCAAGAAAAUGGAAAAAAAAAAAAGAGAAAAAAAAAGAGAAAAAGAGAAAAAAGAGGAAAAAAGAAGAAGGAAGAAACAAGAGUGAAGGAGACCAAAAAGAGGAAAUUGAAAAAAAAAACUAUUAAAGAAAAGAAAAGAAACCCUAACAAAAUUUCCCAUUUCUUCUUCAGCAUGUGCCGAUCCCCUCCCUGAAGUUCUCUCUCAAUUCUCUCACAUCCAAUUUCUCUAUAUGUGCUACGACAAACAUCUUCCAACGAGAACAGUGGUCGAUGAAGCUCUAAUUGCUUCCUUAUGCAAUGGGACCCCGUCAAAGAAAAGAAGACCAAUAUCAAGCCCAAGGAGGAGAAGAUAAAAUGCAAAGUGUUGAAGCCUAGGAUGUUGCAUGACUUUCAGAACAUGAAGAGACCCAACGUAGCAUAAAAAUAGUCACCGAAAAGCAUAGAAUGUGCAUAGUGGACGUCGAGUGUUGGAAGCUUAUAAAUACAUUAAAAAAGGGACAACAAAGGGGGAGGAAUGAGAGCAGAAAUGCUACCUAAAAUCUUUUGGGCAUCCAAAUUUUCAUAAUGAACUUGAUUCGAGGAUGAAUCCUUCAAAAGGGAGAGAAGAUGAUAUGAACCAGGACACCCUUGUGUUGCCUCCGGGAUCAAUCACACGUUUCAGAGCCAAGAAACCAUAGUUAGCAUUGAAUUUCCACAUUCAAGAGGAAAUACACUCAAUUGAGGAGAUUCAAGCAACAAUAAUUUAUCAAAAGAUCUAUAAUUAGAGUUAGUUGACACUCUAGGAUGGAACCAAUUGACCUAUGACAUCUUAUGACUUCAAGACUGCUUUAUAAGGCUUCAAUUUGGAUUCAAGGACAAAUUUUACAAAAGAAUGAGAGGAUGAUAUGAUCUACCAAACAUCAAAUUAUUAAUUACAUUUUAUUUAACAA